CCUACGGGUGGCAGCAGUAGGGAAUCUUUCACAAUGGGCGAAAGCCUGAUGGAGCAACGCCGCGUGCAGGAUGAAGGCCUUCGGGUUGUAAACUGCUUUUAUAAGCGAGAAAUAUGAAGGUAACUUAUGAAUAAGGAUCGGCUAACUACGUGCCAGCAGCCGCGGUCAUACGUAGGAUCCGAGCAUUAUCCGGAGUGACUGGGGGUAAAGAGUUGCGUAGGUGGCGUAAUAAGUUGCUAGGGAAAUCUGGUGGCUCAACCAUUCAGACUAUUAGCUAAACUGUUAAGCUCGAGACCGUUAGGGGUAACUGGAAUUUCUAGUGUAGGAGUGAAAUGCGGAGAUAUUAGAAGGAACACCAAUAGCGUAGGCAGGUUACUGGGACGGUUCUGACACUAAGGCACGAAAGCGUAGGGAGCAAACGGGAUUAGAUACCCCUGUAGUC
rnacentral:rRNA from 1 species